rnacentral:rRNA from 1 species
AGUGAACGCUGGCGGUAGGCCUAACACAUGCAAGUCGAACGGCAGCACAGUAAGAGCUUGCUCUUACGGGUGGCGAGUGGCGGACGGGUGAGGAAUACAUCGGAAUCUACUUUUUCGUGGGGGAUAACGUAGGGAAACUUACGCUAAUACCGCAUACGACCUACGGGUGAAAGCAGGGGAUCUUCGGACCUUGGGCGAUUGAAUGAGCCGAUGUCGGAUUAGCUAGUUGGCGGGGUAAAGGCCCACCAAGGCGACGAUCCGUAGCUGGUCUGAGAGGAUGAUCAGCCACACUGGAACUGAGACACGGUCCAGACUCCUACGGGCGGCACCAGUGGGGAAUAUUGGACAAUGGGCGCAAGCCUGAUCCAGCCAUACCGCGUGGGUGAAGAAGGCCUUCGGGUUGUAAAGCCCUUUUGUUGGGAAAGAAAAGCAGCAGGUUAAUACCCCGCUGUUCUGACGGUACCCAAAGAAUAAGCACCGGCUAACUUCGUG